rnacentral:ncRNA from 2 species
AAAUUGUACCCGUGCUAUACUGCCCGCCACAACCGACACCCGUCCGGGUGAACAGGGGAAGUGGGUGAAAAACCCACGCGGUCCCGCCACUGUAAGUCUCGCCGAAAUGCCGGAGCGCGUCAGCGCGAAGGCACGGAGGCGGACAAGUCAGGAUACCUGCUCCCGGCGCUUGUCUUCU